GGGAGCUGGACGUUUCCUUCAUCUGGAACAGCGCUCAGUACCUUUUCCUCUGCUGCCCAACGAGCCGGCCGAAGGCGCAGGCCGAGGGGUCGAGCUGGCCCGAGAGCCUGCGGAUGUGUGUGCAUCCUGCCGGAAGCAGCAGGGCUGAGCAGGAAGUUGCAAUUACAAGAGGGCAGGGCUUCUGCAGAAGCUGAGCGGUGCUGGCUCAGAGCAGCCAGGGCUUAUCCAAGGAAGGUAUGUGCGGGGGCUCCCGGGACCAGGAAUCGAACCGGCGCCACAGCAGUGAGCCGAGCCACUGCAGCAAUAAUGCCAGAUCCUUAACCCUCAGCACCACAAGGGAACUCCUCGACUGCUUCUUAACUUUUCAAGAUAAUUAUCAUUUGGGAUGAAGUUUCUUACUCUUGAAUCAGAGCCAAGGGACCUUUUUUUUUUUUUUUUUUCAGUUCCUCCUCCCUGACCAGCUCCUCCUUGUUCACUUCCUCCAGAACCCCUCCACGCAGCCUCCACGCACCUCUCUGAAGAGUGACCCAUACCUCGUCACCCACUGGCUUCAAGAUCGCCACUGACCCCCCGCCUUUUCCUGCAAGGAGCACCGCAGCCCGCAGGGUCAGCUCCAUCCUCCGGAGUCCUCCGGAUGCAGCCCGGCCUGAAGUCCUUCCUGAACACCUGUCGUCAGCAUGACAGUGGAAUCUCUCAUAAUCAGCUUCAACUGGUUCCAAGCCAGGGGACCCCCGGGCACUGGCCCAGGAUGGUUGGAGUUCACGCCGGCUUAUGCUGCUGUUCUUGCUGGUGAAUGGUGUCCCCCGCUUCUCUCACAAAUGUCCUGCUUUGGAAAAUAAGUCAUAUGG
rnacentral:lncRNA from 9 species